AGUUUAUGUACACGGCCAAGCUGAGCCUGAGCCCUGAGAACGUGGAUGAUGUGCUGGCCGUGGCCACUUUCCUCCAAAUGCAGGACAUCAUCACGGCCUGCCAUGCCCUCAAGUCACUUGCUGAGCCGGCUACCAGCCCUGGGGGAAAUGCGGAGGCCUUGGCCACAGAAGGUCUGCCCUGUUCCAUCUCCAGGAGGGGACAAGAGAGCCAAAGAGGAGAAGGCGGCCACCAGCACGCUGAGCAGGCUGGAGCAGGCGGGACGCAGCACACCCAUAGGCCCCAGCAGGGACCUCAAGGAGGAGCGCGGCGGUCAGGCCCAGAGUGCGGCCAGCGGUGCAGAGCAGACAGAGAAAGCCGAUGCGCCCCGGGAGCCGCCGCCUGUGGAGCUCAAGCCAGACCCCACGAGUGGCAUGGCUGCCGCAGAAGCUGAGGCUGCUUUGUCCGAGAGCUCGGAGCAAGAAAUGGAGGUGGAGCCCGCCCGGAAAGGGGAAGAGGAGCAAGAGGAGCAAGAGGAGGAGGGCGCAGGGCCAGCUGAGGUCAAGGAGGAGGGUUCCCAGCUGGAGAACGGAGAGGCCCCCGAGGAGAACGAGAACGAGGAGUCAGCGGGCACAGACUCGGGGCAGGAGCUCGGCUCCGAGGCCCGGGGCCUGCGCUCAGGCACCUAC
rnacentral:sRNA from 1 species